GCGCUUAAUUGCGCGGUGGAAAAUAACCCAUACACACAGUGUUUUUUGUUAUUACAAGAACUAUUGCUUUGGCUUGGCGCAAGCUGGGCCAGAGGUUACACGUAAACUUCAAUUUUUAAUUGAAUUGUUAUUUUAAUAAGUUGUCAAUUUGUUUGAUUAAAUUCAAAAUAAUCUUCAAAACUUUCAACAACGGAUCUCUUGGUUCUCGCAUCGAUGAAGAACGCAGCGAAAUGCGAUAAGUAAUAUGAAUUGCAGAUUUUCGUGAAUCAUCGAAUCUUUGAACGCACAUUGCGCCCUUUGGUAUUCCAAAGGGCAUGCCUGUUUGAGCGUCAUUUCUCUCUCAAACCCUUGGGUUUGGUAUUGAGUGAUACUCUUAGUCGGACUAGGCGUUUGCUUGAAAAGUAUUGGCAAGAGUGUACUAGAUAGUACUACCGGUUAUUCAAUGUAUUAGGUUUAUCCAACUCGUUGAACGGCUGGGCGUAAAUUUCUGGUGACUGGCUCGGCCUUACAACCAACAAACAAGUUUGACCUCAAAUCAGGUAGGAUUACCCGCUGAACUUAAGCAUAUCAAUAAGCCGGAGGA
rnacentral:rRNA from 1 species